CUACGGGGUGCAGCAGUAGGGAAUAUUGGACAAUGGGCGAAAGCCUGAUCCAGCAACGCCGCGUGUGCGAUGACGGCCUUCGGGUUGUAAAGCACUUUUAGAGGAGAUGAGAAAGGACAGUAUCCUCAGAAUAAGCCUCGGCGAACUACGUGCCAGCAGCCGCGGUAAAACGUGGGAGGCAAGCGUUAUCCGGAUUUAUUGGGCGUAAAGCGCGUGCAGGCGGUCUAGCAAGUUGGAUGUGAAAGCUCCCGGCUUAACCGGGAGAGGUCGUUCAAUACUGUUAGACUAGAGAAUGGGAGAGGGAGGUGGAAUUCUGGGUGUAGUGGUGAAAUGCGUAGAUAUCCAGAGGAACACCAGUGGCGAAAGCGGCCUCCUGGACCAUUUCUGACGCUAAGACGCGAAAGCUAGGGUAGCAAACGGGAUUAGAUACCCGUGUAGUC
rnacentral:rRNA from 1 species